UGGGGAAUCUUGGACAAUGGGGGAAACCCUGAUCCAGCCAUGCCGCGUGAGUGAUGAAGGCCUUCGGGUUGUAAAACUCUUUCGCGCGCGACGAUAAUGACGGUAGCGCGAGAAGAAGCUCCGGCUAACUUCGUGCCAGCAGCCGCGGUAAUACGAAGGGGGCUAGCGUUGUUCGGAAUUACUGGGCGUAAAGCGCGCGCAGGCGGCUUCGCAAGUCAGUGGUGAAAUCCCAGAGCUUAACUCCGGAAUUGCCAUUGAGACUGCAAAGCUUCGAGUACGGGAGAGGUGAGUGGAAUUCCCAGUGUAGAGGUGAAAUUCGUAGAUAUUGGGAAGAACACCGGUGGCGAAGGCGGCUCACUGGCCCGUUACUGACGCUCAGGCGCGACAGCGUGGGGAUCAAACAGGAUUAGAUACCCUGGUAGUCCACGCUGUAAACGAUGAGUGCUAGAUGUUGGGUGGUUUACCACUCAGUGUCGCAGCUAACACAUUAAGCACUCCGCCUGGGGAGUACGGUCGCAAGAUUA
rnacentral:rRNA from 1 species